UGACAUUAGUAACGGAAGCGAGGUUAUCCCUCAACCUUAUAGGCGGUAUUGAUGGGACAAAUGUGUUAUAAAUAUUAGAAGUUAAACAAAGCUAAGAAAAUAAGUUUCGUCGAGGUUCGAAAUUUAUUUAAAUGAAAUACAGUCCAAGCUAUAAUAUCCUGUAUUUUUGGACUAGGAAAUCGAAUCGUCCAGCAUGAGCAAAUUGUACCGACUGUAAGUUUUGGUCAUAGUCAAACAUGAAAAUAAAAGAAUUCGGUGUAUACGAGAAAUGGAGUCCCGAGAUGAUUUAAGAAGGAAAAGUGUGACGAUGAUGACUGGAAAUAAUAUUUUAUGUGUACCAAAAGGAAAUAUAAACUAGUGUUAUGUCACAUAAUUAUGAUAAUGAGUAUAUAAAGUGUAUUAAAAAUAAUUGUUAUAAAGGUGAAUUGAAUAAAUAUUACGGGUGCACAAUUAUGGUGGGAAACAAAGUGAGGCAAUUUAGAAACAAAGUGGACAAGUGUAAAGAUUGAUGAGUUCAUGUGGGCCAUGAAAAAAAAAACCAAAUAUCAAGCAAUGCAUGGCUGUACUAUAUAUUAUUUGGUGGGUGGACAGUUGGGACAAUUACAAUUAGUAAGCAAGAAUGGGGCUGGACCCCACGACAUCAGGAAAAAAAAAGGUGGCAUUAAAAUAUGCAGAUGGGAGUGAUGAGUCAUGCACAUUAAAGUGCAUAAUGACACGUACAAAAGAAAGGAUGCUGAAUCCCUUUCUCUUUUUAAGCAUUCAAACUUAAACCUUUCCCAUUUUGCCAUAAUAAUAAACGUACCACACCAUUAUUUUCUCUCUAGCUAAUUAUUUUGUUGUUUCAAUAUGCAAGGAAGCAACAACGUGACUUCCAUUUAUAUGGAAACAACGCAGUUUUGAAUUGAUAGAGCACCAACGUGACUUGGUAUUUUACGGAAGAAAAAUGUAAUUUUUUUUUCUCAAGAACAAUAUUCGAAUUUUGCUCACUGCUUCGAUCUCGUUAUUCCGUCUUAUCGUAUUGUUGAAUCCGGGCUUUCUUCGUAGUGAAGUAAGGUGGAAGAAGAUUAUUUCUUGGAAUAUAAGACCUGCGAGCUCGAGAAGUAGACGUUGGACAUUAGAUAGAGUUCAAGGUAUGAGAGGCUAGUCCUUUCUUUCUAUGGCAUGAAUCUUAUAGCUUGACUCUCUUUUUGUCCAUGAGUUUCCUUAAGUUCAGGAAAAUAUGAGUCUAUGUCCAUAAUUAGCCACACAAGGUAAGGAGUAAAGUAUAGAAAUCCCAAUAAUCAUGUUGUGAUGAUCAUAUGAUGUUAAUGAUGCUAAUUAUUGCUUACACUCACCUUAUAUGCUAAUUCCUUCAAGGUGAGGCAGGAUGUCAAUGAAUGUUCCAUAAUGACGUCGGAAGGCACCGACCUUACGUCACUCCGAUAUAGUUAUGACUUUUGAUUGGGCUCUUAUGCAUGUUUUAUAUAUAUGUAUGUAUGUAUUUUCUCACACCGCGUCGCGCUAUAGUCGGCCGGGCAGGCACGUAGAUGUGCACACCACUAUAGUGGGCAGCUUAUACCCCGGACGCGGGAGGCCUGGACGCAGGCUAUGAUUAUCACACCGCUCAUACGUGGACGGGCAGCUUAUACAUUAUCACACCGUACCUAUAUGGACGGGCAGCUUAUAUAUGUAUACAUACAUGACAUGAUAAUGAUUAUGAGUAAGUCAGCAUGCAUUAUUUCAUUUAUAUUUGACAGCCAGUAUAGAUUGCUCUUUCUUGAUGCUUCCUUAUUUCAUUGAUGCCUUCCUAUUUCAUUGAUAUAUUGUUAUUGUUUAUGCUUCUCAUACUCAGUACAAUAUUCGUACUGACGUCCGUUUUCUUCGGACGCUGUGUUCAUGCCCACAGGUAGACAGGGAGGUGAACUUGAUCCAGAUUCUUAGUAGCUGUCAGCUGAUUGAGAGCACUCCAUUGUUCGGAGGUGCUUAUGAUUCUUCUUUUGGUAUAUAUGUAUAUUUUGGGCACGACGGAGUCUUGUUCCAUCUAUAUGUUUAGUAUGUCAGUAGAGGCUCGUAGAUACGCAGUGUGGGUCAGAUGGUCUCACAAGAUGUUAUUAUUAUGUAUAUAUUAUUUUGGUGGCCGAGAGGCAAAAGUGGUAUAAGUAUUUAUGUUUCUAUAUAAAAUAUAAUUUUCCUACAAUUCGUGUAUAAAAUUGGUAAGAGAGCAUUAAAUGAGUAAGAUGAGUAUUAGAGCGAUUGGUGCUCGGUGGCUAACCCCGGGUACCCGUCACGGUCCCUAGCUGGGUCGUGACAAAAGUGGUAUCAGAGCAGUUCGUCCUAGGAAGUGUUUACGAGCCGUGUCUAGUAGAGUCUUGUUUAUGGUGUGUAGCGCGCCAUGCCAAUAAACAGGAGGCUACCGGGCAUUUAGGAAAAAUGACCAUCUUUCAUCUUAAGAGAUCGUGCGAUAGAGCCAAAAGAUAGGAAAUGGUAUCCCUUAUAUAGUGAUAUUUGAUUUCAGCAAGAGAGUGGUGUCGACAAGAGAAGACAAAUAAUGCUACUGGAAAUUACAGAGAUUAAUAUUUCAUUGAGGUUACGUUAUCAGAAAUUGUAUAUACGGAAUGGCGACUGGUCAUCAUCACGGUUAGUAAUUGUGAAUAUAGUAAGAAAAUGGAUUGAAUGUAUAUAUAUUGAUGAUAAGUUCAGUUACAAAGUGUGAACAGAAGAAGCUGAAGAAAUUAGUAAAAAGAUAAGUAAGCAGGGUAUAUGUUAGAUAUAGUGCGAAUGUUGCAGGUAUGAUUGAAAUGUCGCUAGAGAUUAAAAAGGGAAAGUGAACAGAAGAGUAUAACAGGUACAGUUUGAAUUGGACAUACGAGGUAAGUUCAUCAUUUCCAUACAGUUGUUGAUAUCGGGAGCCCUGUGUGGCUAUGAUAUGCUAUAUAUAUGUUGGCCCUGUGAGGCAUUGUUGGUAUUUUCUGCGUGCAGGUUAUGGGAUAGUAAGAAAUACAGAGGAAACUCUGUCAAAAUUUUCUUAGAAAAAGAAUAAUAAUAAUAAUAAUAAUAAUAAUAAUAAUAAUAAUAAUAAUAAUAAUAAUAAUAAUAAUAAUAAUAAAUCUUGAAAAGUCAUGUCAACAGUAGUGAUAGGAUUUGAUCAAAGAAUAAAUUUUAUGCAUAAUUGAUUAAGGGGGGCGUCUAGUGGAAGUAAAUAUAUAUCGAUUAAUAGAUAAGUUUUAUUAAGGAAUAUGUAAUCCACGUGCCACUGGUAAAAUAGGACCAAGAGAUUAUUUACUAUUAGGUAUAGCUAAUGGUGACACAUGUAGGACCAGACAUUAUUUCUUCAGAGUAAUAGCAAAAGAGGGGGAGACCCCACGGUCCACUAAUAUUCUAUAACUAUUGUCAUACCAAUAUACUUACCUCUUAAGAAUGUAUGUGUAAAUGUUCCUAUGACCAGCAAACGAUGAGCUAGUAUGGAAAAAUAUGUAUUCUCCUUUUUCUAAAAUUAAGUUAGGCAAAGUCCCCUUUAAAAAAAAAUAAUUGUGUAAUUGGCUAAAUGAGAAAUAUAGUGGAGAAUGGUAUUAAGUUAAGCAAGGAGAGACACGAUAUGAUAGAAGAGUAACUGAUUCUUCAUAAGAUCACCAUGUCCAGUAUACUUAUACAGGACUAGUUUAACAUUCGAGGACGAAUGUUCUAAAGGGGGAAGAAUGUUCCAUCCCGUAUUUUCGUGCAUUGGAAAACGUGCGAGUUAAAUGACAUUAGUAACGGAAGCGAGGUUAUCCCUCAACCUUAUAGGCGGUAUUGAUGGGACAAAUGUGUUAUAAAUAUUAGAAGUUAAACAAAGCUAAGAAAAUAAGUUUCGUCGAGGUUUGAAAUUUAUUUAAAUGAAAUACAAUCCAAGCUAUAAUAUCCUGUAUUUUUCGACUAGGAAAUCGAAUCGUCCAGCAUGAGCAAAUUGUACCGACUGUAAGUUUUGGUCAUAGUCAAACAUGAAAAUAAAAGAAUUCGGUGUAUACGAGAAAUGGAGUCCCGAGAUGAUUUAAGAAGGAAAAGUGUGACGAUGAUGACUGGAAAUAAUAUUUUAUGUGUACCAAAAGGAAAUAUAAACUAGUGUUAUGUCACAUAAUUAUGAUAAUGAGUAUAUAAAGUGUAUUAAAAAUAAUUGUUAUAAAGGUGAAUUGAAUAAAUAUUACGGGUGCACAAUUAUGGUGGGAAACAAAGUGAGGCAAUUUAGAAACAAAGUGGACAAGUGUAAAGAUUGAUGAGUUCAUGUGGGCCAUGAAAAAAAAAAACCAAAUAUCAAGCAAUGCAUGGCUGUACUAUAUAUUAUUUGGUGGGUGGACAGUUGGGACAAUUACAAUUAGUAAGCAAGAAUGGGGCUGGACCCCACGACAUCAGGAAAAAAAAAGGUGGCAUUAAAAUAUGCAGAUGGGAGUGAUGAGUCAUGCACAUUAAAGUGCAUAAUGACACGUACAAAAGAAAGGAUGCUGAAUCCCUUUCUCUUUUUAAGCAUUCAAACUUAUACCUUUCCCAUUUUGCCAUAAUAAUAAACAUACCACACCAUUAUUUUCUCUCUAGCUAAUUAUUUUGUUAUUUCAAUAUGCAAGGAAGCAACAACGUGACUUCCAUUUAUAUGGAAACAACGCAGUUUUGAAUUGAUAGAGCACCAACGUGACUUGGUAUUUUACGGAAGAAAAAUGUAAUUUUUUUUUCUCAAGAACAAUAUUCGAAUUUUGCUCACUGCUUCGAUCUCGUUAUUCCGUCUUAUCGUGUUGUUGAAUCCGGGCUUUCUUCGUAGUGAAGUAAGGUGGAAGAAGAUUAUUUCUUGGAAUAUAAGGUAAGAAUUCUCCUCUACUAGAUAUAUUUAAAUUCAUCCAGGCCAUAGUUAAAUUGAGAGACGGGAACUACAAAAUUAAUUGCAAAAAAUCGGAUAAAUUGUUAUUAUUACCAUAUGGACUGUUUGGUGGUUGUCAUAAAUUGUUUGGUGUGCUGGAAUAUCGUGAGAUGGGCUGUAGUAGUUGUUGUUGUGUUUAUUGUUAUAUUAUGGAUAUACGAAAAUAAAGAAGUGUAUACAAGCAUUGGUAUACGAAUGUAUAUUGGGCUGUUUUGGAAGCGAUUUAAGAAUGGAUUUAAUUCUAAUUUGAUAUGAAAUUGUUGGUAUUGUUGUUGCUAGUAUUUUUAUUGAUGUUUGGCUAAGUUGGAAUUUCGAGGAUUGUUAAGUUUACAGGGGAAAUGCUGCCCGAAUUUUGUUAAGUUCCUUUCGUACUUGGAUUGGUUAGUAAGUAAUGUGGAUAAUCUAAUUGUGGCCUAUGUUGUCUUAAUUUUAGACCUGCGAGCUCGAGAAUUAGACGUUGGACAUUAGAUAGAGUUCAAGGUAUGUGAGGCUAGUCCUUUCUUUCUAUGGCAUGAAUCUUAUAGCUUGACUCUUUUUUUAUCCAUGAGUUUCCUUAAGUUCCGGAAAAUAUGAGUCUAUGUCCAUAAUUAGCCACACAAGGUAAGGAGUAAAGUAUAGAAAUCCCAAUAAUCAUGUUGUGAUGAUCAUCUGAUGUUAAUGAUGCUAAUUAUUGCUUACACUCACCUUAUAUGCUAAUUCCUUCAAGGUGAGGCAGGAUGACAAUGAAUGUUCCAUAAUGACGUCGGAAGCCACCGACCUUACGUCACUCCGAUAUAGUUAUGGCUUUUGAUUGGGCUCUUAUGCAUGUUUUAUAUAUAUGUAUGUAUGUAUGUAUUUUCUCACACCGCGCCGCGCUAUAGUCGGCCGGGAGGCACGUAGAUGUGCACACCACUAUAUUGGGCAGCUUAUACCCCGGACGCGGGAGGCCUGGACGCAGGCUAUGAUUAUCACACCGCUCAUACGUGGACGGGCAGCUUAUACAUUAUCACACCGUACCUAUAUGGACGGGCAGCUUAUAUAUGUAUACAUACAUGACAUGAUAAUGAUUAUGAGUAAGUCAGCAUGCAUUAUUUCAUUUAUAUUUGACAGCCAGUAUAGAUUGCUCUUUCUUGAUGCUUCCUUAUUUUGAUUGAUGCCUUCAUAUUUCAUUGAUAUAUUGUUAUUGUUUAUGCCUCUCAUACUCAGUACAAUAUUCGUACUGACGUCCGUUUUCUUCGGACGCUGUGUUCAUGCCCACAGGUAGACAGGGAGGUGAGCUUGAUCCAGAUUCUUAGUAGCUGUCAGCUGAUUGAGAGCACUCCAUUGUUCGGAGGUGCUUAUGAUUCUUCUUUUGGUAUAUAUGUAUAUUUUGGGCACGACGGAGUCUUGUUCCAUCUAUAUGUUUAGUAUGUCAGUAGAGGCUCGUAGAUACGCAGUGUGGGUCAGAUGGUCUCACAAGAUGUUAUUAUUAUGUAUUUAUUAUUUUGGUGGCCGAGAGGUAAAAGUGGUAUAAGUUUUUAAUUUUUCUAUAUAAAAUAUAAUUUUCCUACAAUUCGUGUAUAAAAUUGGUAAAAGAGCAUUAAAUGAGUAAGAUGAGUAUUAGAGCGAAUGGUGCUCGGUGGCUAGCCCCGGGUACCCGUCACGGUCCCUAGAUGGGUCGUGACACUGAGUCUCAGGUCCGUACCGGUUAGGGGACUCAGCAUGGGAGAUCUUAGCUGCUCGCCCCCCACAUCCUCGUGUCCUGGAUAUACUACGUUGGGACGGUAUCUACCGGUGCGUCGAUGUUGGUCGGGUACAUCACGAUAGGUCGCUAGUGACGUCAUUGAUUGAGAGGUGGCGACCGGAGACGCACACAUUUCAUCUCCGCACCGGUGAGGCUACCAUUACCCUUCAGGAUGUGGAGGUCAUUUAUGGGCUACAGGUUGAUGGACGCCCAUUUUAUAUUGAGGAGCCUCCUGUGCUGCCGUCUUACCGGGAUGAGUUGACUAGGCUCACCGGUUUCGCGGCUCUGGAUGGUCAUAUUUCUGGCCAGAGUCGACUUUUGUUCUUGGCCCUUUACGCUCACUUGCGCCUCACAGACAUGCAACAUCCGAUUGGAGAGGACACGCCUCAGGCUGAUGUUGAUCGACGCGCGCGUCUAUACCUACUCAUCAUAUUCGGGGUCAUCCUGUUCCUGAACACUUCGGGUUCGCAUUUGAGCUUGAGGUAUCUUCGGUAUAUCGACGAUCUCGUCAAGAUAGGAUGUUAUAGUUGGGGCGCUGCUGUACUGGGCUACAUGUAUCGAGGAUUCUCCCGAUGUUCUAUGGGCACGAGGGUAGAGGUCCCUGCAUUUUGCUUGCUCCUUCAGAUAUGGGUGUGGACUAGGUUAAGACCUUUUCAGCCCAUACCAGCUCACCCUCCCGCUGACUAUCUUACUGUGCCGAUUCCAUAUGCGCGGAGAUGGUCGCGAGGCGUAGCCGACUUGCGGAGACGCACCACAGCCUUCUCCCGUUUAGGGAUCAGCUAGACCGCAUGACGG